CACGUAGGGUGCAAGCGUUGUCCGGAAUCAUUGGGCGUAAAGAGCUCGUAGGCGGUUUGUCGCGUCUGCUGUGAAAUCCCAAGGCUCAACCUCGGGUCUGCAGUGGGUACGGGCAGACUGGAGUGCGGUAGGGGAGAAUGGAAUUCCUGGUGUAGCGGUGGAAUGCGCAGAUAUCAGGAGGAACACCGAUGGCGAAGGCAGUUCUCUGGGCCGUAACUGACGCUGAGGAGCGAAAGCGUGGGGAGCGAACAGG
rnacentral:rRNA from 1 species